AUCGCCUACAUGAAAACUUAAAUAAAUAUUUAGUUUUUUUUUAUCGUAGUUGAUAUAAAUACAAUGUUUUUGUUGUUAUGGCUUCAGUAUAAACAUAACAUUCAAUUCAACGAAGAAGAUAAAACUUUAUAUGAUUUAGCCAUACGUAAUUUUAUUUUAAAAGAAAUUAUAUUAUAAAAAAUUACAAGUGAAUAUAUUACCAAAAUAGUAAAUGAAUAAUUGUAGUAUUACAACACAAUGUUGUAUCAAAUUGUGCAAGGCCCACAAAUGAGAAUAUAAGGGGCAUUGCUUGAAUAUAUUCACAGGCGACGGUACGCUGCUGACACUGACAACGCGCAAAGAUCGCCAAUUGAAGUUUUCAAAAAUAAAAUACUUGGAAAUACUUCAUGGUCACAAUUGUCAUCAACAAUUUAUUCUGGCUUACGUUGGUACUGUAUGUACAACUGCACUAGUUACUAUUGAAUUGCAAAACUGCGAUGGGAAUUCUAAAGAUUCAUGUAGAUACAUUGUACCAAGUUAUUUUUUCAUCGAUAAAAUUGAACGCCCUUAUCGCACAAUCUACAAUAUAUUCAUAAUAAGUUUUAUAAUAUAUGAAGCGAUAUGUGUACUAUCAGCUGUAGUAAUAUUACACAUUGAAUUGGAAAACUUGGAACUAACUUUUGAUGUAUUUAAAUUGACUCUACAAGAUGCCAGACGCUCAUCGAUUAAAACAAUGCGACGUCGUAAAUUAAUUACAGCGCAUCAGCAACAUAUGUAUAUGUUCAGGUAUGAAGAAUGAUACAUAUAAGAACUACAUAAAAUGUAAGUUAAUUAUAGGCUUUGGACAUUUACACUGAAAAUCUGUGGUAAUCCACUGGUAAUGUUUGUUGUUAUUUGUGGGCUUGAAAUAUCAUUGAUUCUGAUUACAGAGUUAAUUGUAAAUCGAUAUAAACAUAGUACUAUUUCUUCAUUUCACGUGAUCAUAAUAUUUUGCAGCAAUUUGAACUAGGUACUUUCAAUUGGACAUUUAAGUGUUUAUGUUAUUGGUUGUGAUAUUAUGGGUAUUGCCGGGGAAAAGUUAAAAAGUCUGAAUGAAAAAAUACGUAACACCGCAUUUUAUGAGUGCCCAUGGGAUGGAGAUGUUAAAACUGUCAAAUUUCUGAUGUUUAUGAACUUAAGCUCUACAAAUCAAUUUUUGUUGUCAGCCAACG